rnacentral:snoRNA from 1 species
CGCCUCCAUGUCCCUUACUCAUAGGAAGUAAAAACUGGUCUGAGAGGUUAUAAAAGGGGAAAAAGUACCAUUGAAAUAGACUAAAAGUCUUUGUGCCAUACAAGC